ACGGGACCCGCACAAGCGGUGAUGAUGUGGUUUAAUUCGAUGCAACGCGAAAAACCUUUACCCACCUUUGACAUGGCAGGAAUCCUGAAGAGAUUUGGGAGUGCUCGAAAGAGAACCUGCACACAGGUGCUGCAUGGCUAUCGUCAGCUCGUGUCGUGAGAUGUUGGGUUAAGUCCCGCAACGAGCGCAACCCUUGCCAUUAGUUGCUACGCAAGGGCACUCUAAUGAGACUGCCGGUGACAAACCGGAGGAAGGUGGGGAUGACGUCAAGUCCUCAUGGCCCUUAUGGGUAGGGCUUCACACGUCAUACAAUGGUCGGUACAGAGGGUUGCCAAGCCGCGAGGUGGAGCCAAUCCCAGAAAGCCGAUCGUAGUCCGGAUUGUUCUCUGCAACUCGAGAGCAUGAAGUCGGAAUCGCUAGUAAUCGCGGAUCAGAAUGUCGCGGUGAAUACGUUCCCGGGUCUU
rnacentral:rRNA from 1 species